AAUGCAUUCCUAUUCACAUUCCUGAGCUGAAAAAAGGUAUUCAUUCGUUUAAACAGGAAUUUAAUUUAAUGAGUGUAUGCUUUACAAACAUUCUAUAAUAUUAGGUUGUUAAAAAUAACCUAUGCACCACAGUUUUCAGUGUUGUCUAAAACAGUUUCAGAAUGUAUUCCCAAUUAUCCCUACCUAUCCUAUAUCUACCUACUUAAGAAAUAAGCAAUUUCAACAAUCUAAAUUCACACGAACAUAAUAUUUUGAAAAGUGCCUAUCUAGACAUACAUGAUUAUGUACGUAGGUAGAUACUUUUAACAUUCCAUUAUUAUCCUUUAUACAGCAGUUCUUCAUAUUUUAUCUUUUCGCAUAUUUUCAAAUGACUAACAUUGCACAAGUAUUCGAUCGUAUUAAAAUAUUAUAAUAGCUCCUAUCGUAUAGCUGCUGCUAUUGCUGUAUACAUACAUGAUAUUAUAAACUCGUGACUAAUGUAUAUUUAGUAAUGAUUUUAAUACCUAUACAAACACUACAAUAAUACACAUCAGAAAAAUACCAAUCAGCAAUAAUUAUUAACGUUAUCAUUUAAUAUUUUCCCAGGGUUAUCUGCAACAUUUAAUUUAAAUAUUAUUUACUCGGACCUUUAGCUUUCUAUUAAAUCAUACAGUAGAUAGUCAUCAUUCCGGAAUUAUUCAUCGCGGCAAAUAAUGGUUAUUUCGAUUUCUUUACAUAAGAAAUUAAGGCGUUGAUGAUAAUAAUUUAUUAACUUAUCAUACAAUUUAUAAUGGGCACAACUGAAUUGUUAUCGUCGAACUAUUCGAUAAUUGAUCGCAUUCGAACUGUUCAAUGGAUUAAAAACUAUAAUAUAUAUAUAGUUUCUAUAGAACUAAUAGUUUUCAAAAUUUUUCGGAAUAAAAAUUGUCAACCAUGGAAAAAAAAAAUCAAAUAAAUAUUUCAUAAUUCAUCCAAACUAUUGACACGAGUUGUAUAAAUAAUUCUGAGGUGUCUAAUACUGGACAAAAUUUUAUAUAUACCUAAUAAAUAAUCCAAUUCUGCAGUAAUAUAGGUUGCAGCUAGGGCUCAUAAGUUGAUGCAUUUUGGCUUUUGCUAGGUCGUAUUGCAUUUAAUACAAAUUUUUAAUUUAAUUCAAUACCUUCUGGUAACAUAGAAAUUAGUAUCAAGGCUACAUGAUUCAUUACAGAUGUAUAGGUAAUAUGACAUUUAAAGUUGCAUAUUUUGAGGUUUUUCGUAGAGGUUUUUUUAUCUAUCAUCGGUGACUGAUAAAAAUAUCUUCGCGAAAAUAUGUUCGACAAAUAUUUCUCUUAAAAAUAUAUUCGUGGAAAUCUUUUAGACAAAAUAUUAGAAUUUUCCUAUACAAAUCCUAUCCUAUACGAUCGUAUAACUUAUCAUGAUACUCCAUAUGACGCAUUUAUUAAUUCAUUUCAUUUUUAUAUGUAAAUUUUUUUAUUUAUAUUUAUUUACGUUUACUAACCAUUUUAAUAAUUUUGUAUUUA